rnacentral:lncRNA from 1 species
CCAAGGACAAGGGAGGAUAAAUAUGGAUGAGAAGUUACAAACCAAACGAAAUAGAGGAGCAAUGGGGAACAAGUAUAUACACAGUCAAAUCACACCCAAAACCUCUAAUUCAAUCCUCUUCUUGACUCCAAUAUUCACACUUUUUUUUUUGUAUUUUUCUUUUUUUGUAUUUUUUUCUCUUUUUUUUUCAUCUUGUCUCUUUUCUUUUCUCUUUAUCUAGGACACAACUCUAGGAGAAAAGAUACACACAUAUUUACAAAACAAAAGCAA